rnacentral:rRNA from 1 species
GACGAACGCUGGCGGCGUGCCUAAUACAUGCAAGUCGAGCGGACUUGACGGAGCUUGCUCUGUUCAAGUUAGCGGCGGACGGGUGAGUAACACGUGGGUAACCUGCCUGUAAGACUGGGAUAACUCCGGGAAACCGGGGCUAAUACCGGAUAUUCUUUUUCUUCGCAUGAAGAAGAAUGGAAAGGCGGCUUUUAGCUGUCACUUACAGAUGGACCCGCGGCGCAUUAGCUAGUUGGUGAGGUAACGGCUCACCAAGGCGACGAUGCGUAGCCGACCUGAGAGG